AAACAGGAUUUUCCUUGGCUCUUCACCUGAGAAUCUGGGGAUACAACACGUGACAGCAUGGGGCUCCCCUAAGACUGUGGUCCCAGGCAUUUCUCCUCUCCAGCUCACCCACCUGUCACCCAGUGUGGACAUCGCCACCUCUGCGUCCUUGCCAUUUCCGGCUGCAGUGCUUCUCCCCAGUGUCCAGGUGGCCCGAGGGCGGCACGUGGAGGUCGGCUGCUUUUUCCUAAGACCUGUUUUGCUCCUGCCUCGUGGAGGAACAGCCCAUGGUGCUCCUCCGUGUGUUUGGCUCCGUGGACGACGGAAUAGUGAGCCCCGAGUGUUCUUCGUCAGCAGUUUUAAUGAGGAGAGACUCGCGAGGAUCUGCUUCCGCUUCACCCCAGAGCAGACCCGGAGGAAGAACGUUUUCUGCAUCCGGAAAAUUCUGCAACCCUGGGGAGGCCGCCUUCUUCGGAGCCCGCCCUCCCCAGCCGUUUACCAGGCUGCCUUCUUGAUGACAGACCGAACAUGUGAAACUUUGGGCGACAAGGAGGCUGAUCAUUAGGACCCCAUCGAGCAGUGAUUUUAUACCCUGAUAGGUUACUUGGUAACAAUGACAUUAAACUUGCUGUGUAAUGAGAUGUUUAUCAGCCACGCCACUGCGAUCUGCACAGCGAAGGCUCCAGUGGGGUCCUGCUGAAUUCGUCUCAUGUGCAACCCGCUCCUUCCUGGCGAGUCCGGCGACCCGUGUCCUCGAGAAAAAAAACCACAGUUGCCUGAUGCCUGCUUCGUUCACGCCUCGUCUGAGCUGCCGCAGUCUCCUCGUUCCUGUCUGGGACCUAAAGCAUCUAUUUCUGAUCUUCGGGAAGCCAAAGGCCACAUCUGUGACAACGCCUUCAGAUUUUACCCAGAAAACCCACUUGGUUGGGCUUUGCUUCGCUGAUGUCUUGUCCUGUUUUCAAGCUGCAGUUGGGACGGUAGGGGGACGUGUGACCCUCUGCUGGGAUGGAGGCCCAGGGUGGAGGAGCUGGUGCCUGCUGGGAGGCCCAGGGCAGCCUGAGAAGGGGGGCUCUAUUAUUUUGGAUUUGCUGCUUGUUUGGAAGAGAAAAGCGUGCCGCUGUUUUGCACAUUCAUUUUCUCGACAAAGUAACAGGUUCCUGGAAAGACCACGUCUUUGGCCUGUCUGA
rnacentral:lncRNA from 1 species